UUCUUUUGGAACAAGAACGCCUUUGGUAAAUGAAAUUGCCCAAUAAGUACUUGUAUUUGUAAAUAUAUAUUAAAGAAAAUUAUUGAUAGAUGUUAUUGUUUAGGAACGUUGUUAUAUUAAAUGUUUUUAUGUAAGCAUGGUAUUGCUUGUGGCGAUGAAUAUGCCCUCUGAUGAAGAGAUUAGGAAACACAAUAUAGCCGUUGUCGAAAUACGGAGGAGUGUAAAUGAGAAGAUAGAGAGCAUGCGGAAGUUCUGUGCGUUGUAGCGUGUGUGGUAUUUUGUGCAGGACAUUAUUAGGAAGAUUCGUGUAUAUUGUAUAAUACAUAGUUGAGCAUGGAAGAUGUAAUGAAAUCGUUACAGACAUUUUUUUCAUAUCUUGAUAAACAUAACCUCAAAUGGCAUGACAAUGUUCAGAAGGCUGCUAAACCCCUCAGUGGCCUUUGCAACCAAUCAGAACAACUCAGAUUGGUGAAGAUGUAUGAAGAUGCUGAAGAUAGUGAACUUCCAAAUAUUAAAAGCAGACUUAUUUCAAAGAUUAAAUUGGGUCUGGAAGAGGAAUUAUCUAUACUGAAGAAUAUAUUAAAAGAAUGUCAGGCAUGCAACAGGGAGCUGAAGCAGAAGUUGGUGGCCGUGGAACGGAAGUGUGAGACUGUAGAGACUCUGGCAUUGUUGCGAGGCACUGCAACUCACCCAGCCCCUUGCCUAAUGCUGGAGUGGGCGCAGGAUGCUUGGAGAAUCUACCACACAUUCUAUUUUCAGAUCAGUGGUGCUUUAAGGUGUCUGAACUACGAAGACGAGGAUUCUGUUCUAAGGUUUCAGAAAGCCUUCGAAGAAGAUGCUGGAAUGAAGUGCCAUAUUCAGAAUCUUUUCCAGUUCAUCAGUCCCCCACCACUAGCACUGCAGUCUACUUACUGACAGUGUCUGCACAGUAACCCUCAAGAAGAAUUUUGUCGUCUGUACAAAAUGGUGAGUUCAUUUACAUAAAAGCCUCAUCAAAUAUUUAUAUUCAUUAUUUAUUUGCAGGAAUGUCAGCAUAUACAAAGUUCCUUGUAGAAGGAUCCUGACUUCCAUCUGGAACGGCCUCAAGUGAAAAUUUCAGAGGAUGAAAACGAUGUGCCUGCUUAUACAAUACUUUGUAUGUUGAUGUGUAAUUCAUUGGAUUUUGUGAUGUCCAAGUUUACAAAGAAUGAGGUUGUACUGGAGAUGAUGCUGUAGACUUGUACCCAGUAGAGGCACAGUUUGAGUGUUGGCCGGGACAUCGGCUAUCCUGACUAAGUUCUUUGUUGAUUUCCUCAGUCCCUCCAGGCAAAUGCCGGCAUUCUAUCUCGAUUGGGCCAUGACCACAUCCUUCCAAAUCCUUUCCAGUUCAUCAUUCCACCGUUCUAUGCUAUAUAGCUCAGAUAUUGUAGGUACAGUGAUACAAGGUGCCAGAAAUUGCUCAUUUUCCAGUACACAAAAAAUCAUCAAAACAUCAUCACUGUGUAUUACCGCCAUUAAAGCCGGGUCCCUUUCUUUACCCCUUCUCCUUGAGUCUCAUGACCACUCAGCUUUUAAAUUACCCACAUAACCAAACCUCUUCCUGAAGCUGGAGGCAGUUUGAUCUUUCAAUAUGACGGUGUCUGCCAGCGGAAAUACAUGAUCUCAACUUGGAAGAUGCCAGUAAUAUUGUAUUUUAGCUUUAUAUUGUGUGUGGAAUAUUUUAUUCAGUUUCUGUCUCACAAUGUAUGUAUAAAUGUAAGCUAAUUAUAUGCUUUGUACAGUACGAUUUUGAUUGUUAUUAAUAGUGAUAUUGUAUUUUAGUGUCAUAUUAUGUAUAGAAUAUUUUUUUAGUUUCAUUCUCACAGUAUAUGCAUAAUUCUAAGAUAAUUAUAUGCUUUUUACACUACUCUACACUAGUAUAGAAACUGUAUAGUUAUCUUAGAAGAUAUUUUGAUUGAAAUGUCACUUAUGAAUGAUUCAGGUGUAAUUCUUCUGUCCAUGUAAUUAAAAAUACUGUAUGAGGACAUA